CCAUUCAGCCCUGUCCCAGCUGCCAGGCCUGCAGGCCUGGGAGGGGACCUCCCAACGGCAACCAGGAGGGGACCGGCCUUUCCCUAUGCUGUGCCUCCAGGCUGGACUGGCAGUUCCAGGCGGCAUGGAGGGGCCCCAGAGCUCCACCCACAUCUCCUUGGUCCUACUGCUGCUUCUGCUGUCAGGCCCAGCUUGGCAGGCAGCUGCCCAACGCUGCCCACAGACCUGCAUCUGUGACAACUCCAGGUGGCACGUUGCCUGCCGGCACCAGAACCUCACUGAGGUGCCAAACGCCAUCCCUGAGCUGACUCAGCGGCUGGACCUCCGGGGCAACGUGCUGAAGGUGAUCCCUCCAGCUGCCUUCCAGGACCUGCCCUAUCUCACACAUCUGGACCUGCGGCACUGUCAGGUGGAGCUGGUGGCCGAGGGCGCCUUCCGUGGCCUGGGCCGCCUGCUCUUCCUCAAUCUGGCCUCCAACCGCCUGCGCACGCUGCCCCAGGAGGCGCUGGACGGGCUGGGCUCCCUGCGGCGGCUGGAGCUGGAGCGCAACAUGCUGGAGGAGCUGCGGCCCGGGGCGUUCGGGGCUCUGGGCGCUCUGGCCACGCUGAACCUGGCCCACAAUGCCCUGGUCUACCUGCCUGCCAUGGCCUUCCAGGGGCUGCUGCGCACCCGCUGGCUGCGGCUGUCCCACAACGCGCUCAGUGUGCUGGCCCCCGAGGCCCUGGCCGGCCUGCCCGCCCUGCGCCGCCUCAGCCUGCACCACAAUGAGCUGCAGGCCCUGCCCGGGCCAGCCCUGUCCCAGGCCAGCGGCCUGGCCCGUCUGGAGCUGGGCCACAACCCACUCACCUACGCGGGCGAGGAGGACGGGCUGGCCCUGCCCGGGCUGCGGGAGUUGCUGCUGGACCACGGGGCCCUGCAGGUGCUGGGUCCCAGAGCCUUCGCCCGCUGCCCCCGCCUGCACAGCCUCGAUCUCCGAGGGAACCAGCUGGACACGCUGCCCCCGCUGCAGGGCCCGGGCCAGCUGCGCCGGCUGCGGCUGCAGGGGAACCCGCUGUGGUGCGGCUGCCAGGCGCGGCCGCUGCUCGAGUGGCUGGCGCGGGCGCGCGUGCGCUCGGACGGCGCGUGCAGAGGCCCGCGGCGCCUGCGAGGCGAGGCCCUGGACGCGCUGCGGCCCUCGGACCUGCGCUGCCCCGGGGACCCGGAGGAGGAAGAGGCGGAGAAGAGAGAGGAGCUGGCAGCAGCCGGGCCCCGCGCCCCUCCGCGCGCCCCCGCGGGGGAGGACGGGGCGGUGGUGCCCUGCCCUCGCGCCUGCGUGUGCGUCGCCGAGUCCCGGCACAGCAGCUGCGAGGGCCGCGGCCUGCAGGCAGUGCCCCGCGGUUUCCCCAAUGACACUCAGCUCCUGGACCUGAGGCGGAACCACUUCCCCUCGGUGCCCCGAGCGGCCUUCUCCGGCUUGGGCCACCUGGUGUCUCUGCACCUGCAACACUGUGGCAUCACAGAUCUGAAGGCUGGCGCCUUAGCUGGGCUGGGCCGCCUGGUCUACCUCUACCUCUCUGACAACCAGCUGUCAAGCCUCAGUGCUGCCGCCCUCAAAGGGGCCCCACACCUUGGCUACCUGUACCUAGAGCGCAACCGCUUCCUGCAGGUGCCAGGGGCCGCGCUGCGCGCCCUGCCCAAACUCUUUUCCCUGCAUCUGCAGGACAACAUUGUGGAUUGCCUAACACCUGGAGACCUGGUGGGGACACGGGCUUUACGCUGGCUCUAUCUGAGUGGAAACCGUAUCGCUCAAGUGUCCCCAGGAGCGCUGGGCCCAGCUCUGGAGCUGGAGAAGAUACACCUUGACAGGAACCAGCUGCGAGAGGUGCCCACUGGGGCCUUGGAGGAGCUGCCUGUCCUCCUGGAGCUGCAGCUCUCUGGGAACCCACUCAGAUCCCUGCAAGAUGGGGCCUUCCGGCCUGUGGGCAGGUCGCUACAGCACCUCUUCCUGAACAGCAGUGGCCUGGAGCAGAUUUCUCCUGGGGCCUUCUCGGGCCUGGGACCAGGGCUCCAGAGCCUGCACCUGCAGAAGAACAAGCUUCGGGCCCUGCCUGCCCUGCCUGGUCUCAGCCGGCUUGAGCUCAUCGACCUCAGUGGUAAUCCCUUCCACUGUGAUUGCCAGCUGCUCCCACUGCACAGGUGGCUUACUGGGUUGAACCUGCAGGUGGGGGCCACCUGUGCCACCCCUCCCACUGCCCGGGGCCAGAGGGUGAAAGCUGCAGCUGCCGUCUUUCAAGCCUGCCCAGGCUGGGCUGCCAGGAAGGCCAAGCGGACACCAGCCUCCAGGUCCGGCUCCAGGAAAGCCCCCAUCAAGGGAAGACAGCCAGGAUCAGAAAAGAGCGUAGAGGACAAGGAAAAUAUGGUGGAGUCAUCCCACGCCAAGCAGGAGGCGGGCAGGUGGGCACUCCUAUGCCACCGAGUCCACCUUGGCCCUGAUUCCCCAAGAUGACGUAGAGGGCAUGGCUCAGGAGUGGGCCACUUCUGAUCACUAAAAUGCCAGUAAGUCAAGACGCUACAAAUCACAAACCCAUUUUAGACCAAGGAAACUCAUGACCCAGAGAGGUCAAGCAACUUGCCCAGAGUUGCAGAGACUCAUCAGUGCCAGAGCAGGGCUUCGAACCUGGUGUCCGACCUGUGCUCUUCACAGGCUCUGCACUCUGAUACCCUGGCGCCCCGCACUCCCCUCUACCUCCCAGCCCUCUGUUGAUGGCACAUGCAAGACUCAUGUCCAGAAAACUGAGUCCCCUUGUGUCUCCACAUGUCCAGUUCCAGCCCUGGCCCUGACAGGCUGUGGCUCUGAAAUGGUUUCAGCAGCAAUCAGUAUCCCCUCUGACCCAAAAAGGAACAGUGACCAAGACGCCCACGAGCUGUUCUUCAGAGAUCCACGGUGUGUCAUCUUCUUGUCCCAAUAAGGGGCUGGAGCUUUUCCACCCCCUCUAGCAUGCACUACAGGAUUGGCUACGUAAAAGUCAGCGCGUGCUUGCUGACUGUUGAUGUGGAUCACUGCCCUCUGCCCAGAGUCAUGCUUUUAAUGUAAAGAAAAAAAGAGGCCACCUCGUUACCCCUAGUGGUCUGUACCACCCACCACCGUCUGCCUCAUCCUAAGACAAGGGCUGGCUGAGAAAGAGUGAACAAUCACCUCCAAUCAUCAAAUCUGUCAACUGUGCAAAGCACUGUGGGAAAAACUUAGUUUUGCUGGAGUAAGAAUAUAGAGAACCUGAAAAGACAGUUAACAACAUAGAGAUAAAUAGCAAAUCAGUAUCCCGUAAGUUCAAAUAAGGAAGAAAUCAUUUCUAUUUUGGGGAAAAGUCCGGGAAUGCUCUUCGAGGUGCACUGAACCAUUCCUUGCUGAAGGCCAACUCUCCGUUAGCAAAGGCUCACGAUGUGCAACCUUUUCAUCUGGCGUCCAGUGCCGUGGGUGAGAUUCGAUCUAUAUUUUCCACUGUUGGCUUCCAUACCACCCAUGCUCUACAGAUCAAUGUAAAAUUUUCUCCACAAAGCCUUCCUUGAUAUCUGCUCCUCCUCUGAGGCCAAAAGGCCACUUGAAUUGCGUGUCCUAGCAGCACUUGUGCUGCCUUGUCCUGCACACGCUGCAGGGCUUACCCAGGGCAGCAUGGGAACAGCACCUCUGAGCACUUGGUUCAGGAGACCUCAGAUGCAGCCCAGGCACCUGUGUAUGAGAGCCCCAUGACAAGAGGCCUGGCAUAGAGAGGUGGGAGAGAAAGUCUUCACUAUAUAACCUUUUGUUCCCUUUGAUUUUUUUACCAUGUGCAUCUAUGACUUUUUAAUUUAAAGAACUAGUUUUUUUUUUUUUUUAAACUCAGCUCCUACAGGACUAAAUAGUUUUUUAAAAAGAAAAUUAAAUGCCACACAGAUAUUUCCCUUGUUCAGAACAAAGGCUUAUAAUAAUUCGUGUGCAUGACUUUCAUUUCCUCUGCCAGACGGGAGAUUCCUGGAUGGCAGUGUCUGUAUUCUUUGUACUCCCAAAGUGUGCCUUGUAUGCAAUAAGUACUUAAUAAAAUCUAUU